AGUACUGUACAAAAGUCUUGAGCCACUCCUUUUUCUGUCCUUUCCACCUCCAACGUUGACCUUGUCUUGAGCAGGAGUUUCUGUUGCUUAAGACAAGUUCAACUUUCCUGAAACAUUUAAAGCUGUCACUUUUCUACUGUCCUCUAUCAUCAGGUGUCCAGGCUUUCUGAAGGUCUGGAGCUUUUCUUUAGACGUUGGCUGCUUUUUAACUUAUUUUCAAUCCAGUUCUUGGACCUGAAUGAUUUAAGAGGAAUGUGUUUGUUUUAUUUAUGUGUUUGUUUGUUCAUAUUUAUGUGUGUUUGCCUCUUAACACUGACCUCUGAAUCAUUCAGGUGUAUAAAGGCUCCUAACUUAAAGGAUGAACCAGUGUCGUGUUGACACAACCAGAAAACUUGAAACCCAUUUUAAAUUGGCUCUAUAGGCUCUUUGUUAGCCGUCUGCCACAAACAUAUUAUUAUUAUUCGUUUAGAUUUCUUUUUUAUUUAUGUUUGACAGACAUGAAAAGUAGUAUUUUGACCCAACAAUUUGAUUCCCAAAGAGUUAUCAGCUGAAAACCUGGCAUAUCCCAGUAUGGUAUCCACCAAGUCACUGGUUCAGAUGGUGUGAACGUCUCCUCUUCUUUCUUUCUCAGUUUGUCCAGUUUAGUUGAGGACACACUGUCCACCAUGCUGAGACGUGUUUUUAUUGCUGUAGAUUCUCGGCCGUUUGACUGUUUUGUCCUUGGUGAAGCAGUUUCUGUCUGAGAGUGAUGAUGAGGGUUUGAAAUGAACUAGGAUGUCUUGUUCGGAGAAGAUCCUGAGUUUCUCAGACACUCCUGCCACUUAUGGGAUGACAACUUUCUUCCUCCUGUCCUCUUUUCUCUGUUCCAGAUGACUUUCCAGAAUUUUUAGCUGAUUUAAUUUAAGUCCAGUUUGGAUUAACGGGUUUGAAGUGCUUCCUUAAUGUGGUUUUGUUCCUGAAGUUCUCCCUCCGUCCUCGUAGGAACAUUUUCAGCCUGGUGGAGUGAGGUUCUGUUGAUGGACAGUUUGUGUUCUCGUGGGUGGAGUAAGUCAAAACCUGAGUCCUGGUCUGUUUGGGUUGCUGGUAAACAUCAGUGUUUUGGACUGUGCGGUCACGUUGAGGAGGAUGGAAACCACAACACUGAAGAUCACCAGACACCCCCACACCAGGAUGCAGUUUUUGACUCACACCACCUACUGGAUCACAAACUGUCUGUCGAGGACGGAGGAAAACUUAACAAAACCACAUCAAGGAAGCCAUUUAAACCUGUUUUUAUCCAAACUGAAUUUCAUCAAAUCAGCUAAAUUUCUGGAAAAAGCACAAACAGAGAACACAGAAAGAACAGGAGGAAGAAUAUUGUUCUAGAUCUGACAGGAGGGACCAAACAUCACUUUCAGAAGGGGGUGCGUCACCCGAAGGUCAAAACAUCCAAACACAAGCUGAGUUGCGUCAUGUCCCAGCAUGGUGGACAGUGUGUCCUCAAAUAAACUGGACAAGUUGAGAAUCAAGUGGAGAAGUUCACAUAUCUGAACCUGUGCUCAGUUCAAAACUAUACAGCAUCUGAUAUCCAGCAAAGAGCCAAUAGUGGAGCUGAAACAGGGAUAAAAGGCUGAGGUAUGCCAGAUGACGGCAGAACUGGACUGAAAAUCAGUGGUAACAGGUCUGAUGGAGGGAUGAAUCCUCCCCAGAGCCUGGAUGUAAUCAUUGUUGAAGAAAUGUAGAAUCAUGUUAACAGAGAAGAGAACAAGAAGCAGCCAACGUGUUUCAGUAAAUCUCUGCUUUUUUUCUGCCUUUUUUUUUUUUUUUUUUUUUGGAGUGGCUCCAGACUUUUGUACAGAAUUGUGCAAAAGGUAAGAAUCAACCUUCCAUCCUUGUGAUGGACACACACCAUCAAAUGUUCUUCAUGGUAACUUUUGUAUAUUUAACAAGUCAUUUCUGUGCCAUGUGAGUAAACUGUACAAUACUCUUUUCUUUCCUUUCCCGGUGCCGGGGGUUCCCCGGUGCCUGAGACGUCCUGACUGAGGAGGACAUUGUGUCAAAGACUCAAGCGAAUCCUCAGGUUUCCAGCUCGAACCGUUACAGUCUCCAUCUUUAACCUCUUUGAUGAAUCUCCACAAAACACACCUAUAGCCUCCACCUUCUGCCACCAGCCUCCAGGGUCAUGGUGGGGGGGCUGGAGCCUGUCCCAGCAGUUACCAGACAAGAGGCAGGGUCCACCUUGGACAGGUCACCAGUCCAUCACAGGGCCAACACACAGAGACAACAACCAUCCACGCUCACUCAGAAGCCAGAGUAGCUGGAGAGAAGCCUCACAAGCACCGGGACAACAUGCAGACUCCACACAGAAAGGCUCCAGCCGACCUUCAAACCAGGAACCUUCUAGCGGGGAGGCCGCAGUGCUAACCCCCACACCUCCAUGCAGCCCAUCUUCCAACUUACACUGUUAGAAACAAAUCUACAGAUUGAACCUCCACCUGAAUCGUCUCCAUGGUAACAUCCUCUCUUCAGCCCCAUCUCAUCUUCCAUGUAGCUCCAUUAACUUGAGUUUAAAAUGACACAGCUCCACCUGCAGUCUCUGCCAUCCACCUGCACAGCAUCCACCUCAAGGAAGAAAAAUCCACCUUCCAACUCUACCUGCAACCUCUGGCAUCAAGAAAGAAACUAAAUCCAUCUUCAGCCUCCACCUUCAGGCAUCACCCUCCAGACUGAACCUCCACCUGAAUGGUCUCCAUAGUAACAUCCUCUCUUCAGCUCCAGCCUCCAUCAUCUUCUGUCUUUGUGCAUGAAGCUCCACCUGCAGUCUCUGCCGUCAACC